rnacentral:rRNA from 1 species
GUUGUCCGGAAUCAUUGGGCGUAAAGCGCGCGUAGGCGGCCCGGUAAGUCCGCUGUAAAAGUCCAGGGCUCAACCCUGGAAAGCCGGUGGAUACUGUCGGGCUAGAGUCCGGAAGAGGCGAGUGGAAUUCCUGGUGUAGCGGUGGAAUGCGCAGAUAUCAGGAGGAACACCGAUGGCGAAGGCAGCUCGCUGGGACGGUACUGACGCUGAGGCGCGAAAGCGUGGGGAGCGAACAGG